GCCCCACCCCUCCCUGCGUAGACUCUGCACCCACUCUCUGCUCGGUCAGCUCCUGGCAGUGGCUUCAAACACUGCUGACGUGUGUGUAGAGUCCUUCCAGCGGAGGCCGCCACAGGAUUCAUUCAGCAAGUACCUCGGAGCCGAGGUGGGUCGGAGGUGAACGAAGGCACAGUCCUGCUGCUGGAGUUCAGUCCAGCGGAGGCCACGGCACAAACACGCAUGUGACCGAAACACAAAACAGCCCACGGGCUGGGCCAUGAGGCUGGACUGUUAGCAGAAAGGGAUGGUGCGAUCGUGGUCAGGGCGGGCUUCCUGGGGCUCAGGGGCUGGGUGGAGAUGGACAGGCGGAGCUGGGGAAGAGGCGUUCCAGGGGGGACCCCAGCACAGACAAAUGGCAGACCGCGAGGGGCCUGGGGCGCUGAGAAGAGGCUCACCCGGGGAGCGGCGCUGCUCAGAGGGGACCACCCACGGCGAGGGGCUGUCCUGCUGGAGGCCUUCUGGGGACAGAACCAGGGGCCAGAAGAGAGAUGAGGGAACAACCAGCCCUGCUUCUCCCAAACGCUUUUAAAACUCCUAUUACCGGGCAGCCAUCCCAGCGUGGCUACCGGGCCACCAACGUACCCUCGGGGAGCCUCAACUAUAUACAGGCCCUCACCACCUGCUGUGGCAGCUUUAUCCUGAGAACCCGUGCCCCCAUCCCUGCAUUCCUGAGUUAAAGAGAAGAGAGAGAAAAUGGUACAUCCACACUCAAGCUCUGCAAGGUUAAGAUUACUUGGGUCUAUCAAGAAUAACCUUCCCACUUUAUCAAGCACUCUGACAAACCAGCCACAGACGGUCGCCAUGGCAACCAGGACAAGCGUGGUGCUCACAAAGCCCUGAGUGGCAGGAUGGAGUCCUUUUAUUGGUGCCUGUGCCCCGGCCGGGUUUUCUCCCGGACACCCAGCACGGCAGGACAAUGGGCACCCCCGAGGCAGCCUGACCCGCCUGCCCAGACAGGCCUCGCAGGGUUACUUCUGCUUUGCUCUAUUUUAUUCCCCUCAUUCACCAUCUUAAAGAGAAAGACGGCAGGAUUUCUCCCCAACAGCUUUUCCCCUCAAGGUAGGGGAUGUCAGCCAGAGGGCACAGAAUCAUAAAGACUAAAAGGAAGAAGCGAAAACACAGCAAAACAUGACCCUGCUUGAGAGAGCUGAGAGUUCAAUCACAAGUGCUCCCAGCCGGCUGUCACAGGACGGGUUGAAAAGUAAAAUACAAAUGGUAGGGGGUGAGGUGUUUCAUGCUGCCAGACUCUCGCACUCCAACUCUCUGGGCUGGUCUUGCUUUAAUUAACGGUUAAUGUGGUUUUCCACAAGCACCUAUCAAAGCCGGUUUGCAUAUUAUCAACAGAGUCAGAAGACGACAUUUCUAAAAUAUGACAUGAACUCCAUGCAGUCAGUGGAAGAGGCUUUCAAGUCCAUUAGCUGAGAAAGGUGGUCGGAAACGCAUCGGAUGGAAGGCUCUCUUUGAUCUGCUUUUCUGUGACACUCCAGUGAGGAGGGAAAAGCACAAACAGCAAUCCAAAGCCAGCCUGCUUAUCAAACGAAAAGACAUUUCUUUCUGGGAACAGGUGCAGAAAUUUUAAUUAACUCUCUACUCUCCUGUGUGGAUACGUAAUCUCCGAUCACACCUGGAGUGUUAAAAAAAAAUGAAGCAUGUCCUGUGGUUCUUUGACUUGUAUAAAAGGGAUUCAUUUGUAUUUAUGGCUCUUUUUCCUUUGUUCCCUGUAAUUUCUCCAUGGUUGCAAAUCCACUAAAGAAACAGGCAUCCAACACAACUUUCUCUUACCCUCCAAAAA